CCAAGAUAUUGUUUAUAUCUAAUUCUUCUUCUAGAGAAAUUUCCUAACGUCAUGAUAAAAAUAAAGAAAAAAUUCCUUCUGUGCAAAAGGCAGAGAAACAAGAGUAGGAAUAUGAGCAUAAAUGGUAGACUACAAUAAGAAUUUGGUAAUCCAUCUAUGAGAAGCAUAGUGUUAUAUAGUGUUUAUUUUUUACUGCAAUACUGAAAUGAUUUGCCAUACUAUUUUUAUAGGCUUGAGGUGCUGAUGAUGAGUCUGACAAGUCAAAGUCUGAGAUUAAUGGUGAUGAGGACGAUGAGAGCAGUGGAGACGUUAGUUGGGAUUAAGCUAUACAACUUUUUUGUACUUAAAACUUGGAAACUAUGUUGACUUAUUAUUUUGUUUUAAUUAAUGUAGGAGGAAGACAAUGAGUAAGCGCUAUCACAUAAAACUGGAUUUUGGAUUCAAGGUGAGAGCUAACAAACAAUCUUCCUUCAUUAAUUUGUGUUUGGGCUAUUUUGUAAAAUGCUUGAAUUCAAAGUGAUUUAAUUGAAUUGGUAAAUUAGGAUUUCAUGAAGAAUUAUCCUGUAAAAAUUGGGCUUUAUGUAAAUUUUAUUGAAAGUAAUUAUAGUUAAUACGAUUUUCCUCCUUUUUCUUCUGUUGUGAAAGUUGCUAAGGUGUUAGUUUUUCUUUUUCACCAAGGGGACAAGCGUCUCUUCCCUUCCAUUAACUCGAGCAAAAAAGAGAGGAAACAUAUGCCCUGAUUUUCCCUUUUGGUAACGAAUACCGGGGAAUUCCCCUUUUUCGCCUUCUCCUGCCUCUUACUAUGCUUGAUAUACAUACUUAUUUUGAAAGAACGGGUGAAGGAAGAGGAGGUUGGGUGUUUUUUGACCCAUGAUAAAUAUUUAAUGUGUUACAGCAAGCAGCUCAUAUAUUUUUAAAUCAUUAAAGCUCAUUCCUGUUAAAAAUGUUAGAGAGAAAAACAUUAAUUUAUUCAUAUCUUCAAAACACCUCUUAUGGUACAUGUAGAUUUAAUUUUUCUAUAGAAUGACAUGUAUAAUUUUGACGAGGAUGAUAUUAUUGUUCUGCGGAUUUCCAUCUGGUUGUACAUUACCAAUACAGGUCUAGGCUUAGAGUUCGAUUAGAGACUCGGAGCUCAGUUAUCUACUAGGUCGAGAAAAUUGUUGAUCAGGUCAAUCGCUCUAAGCUUGUGGUUGACUACUUACGUGGCCCAUUUUGUUUAUAUUUCGUUGCAAGCUCCAAUUCAUACAUAGUUUUUGUUAUUGCAGGAGUUAAGAGGAAGAGGACAAACCAAACGAUCAAGGAUUUAGCAAUGCAUUUUUGAAGUGAAGUCCAGGAAACUAUAUUAGUUAAGUGAAGCCAGCAUUCUGCUAAAGCGAACAAAAAGAUUAUGACGAUUGAGGAUGAUCAAAGUCACAUUUCACUUAUUAUCCUUCGUUCCCAUCUCUUUUUGAGUAAUGAUCAUUUUUAGUAUCUUGUGGCUGCCCAACAUUUCAAACAUUCCAAAAACAUUGUAGAUGUAAAUUCUACAUUAUGCGAGGAAUUUCCCUUUUCUUUUCUUUCCUUUUCGAAAUGGAGAAUCAAGUAAGCUGUCAUUUCCAUUUGCAAUAGUGUAGGCUCUUACUGUGAUGUGCUGUUGCACAUGUUCACGUAUGUGUGCACAUAUUUACGUAUAUAUAUGUUUGUGCUAGACGUAUGAUACCA
rnacentral:lncRNA from 1 species